GAGAUGUUAGUAAAUUAAUUAUAUAGCCUUGUCAAGGCUAAGUAGCAGGUGAAAAUCCAGCACAUCUCA
rnacentral:tRNA from 1 species